CAUCAGGGCAGUUUGAGCCCUUGUGCCGAACAACAUUAAGUGAGCAGGGUGGGAAGUUGCCAGUGCUUCCAGAGUCUGUUGAUGGAGCAGUUAGCGGUUGUAAUGGCUCACAGUGAGGUUUCUUAGGAGUACUCAGCACCAUAUCAGUUUUUCUUCCCCCUCUAGGAUAAAAGAAAUGCAGUCCAACUUGCUGUUCAAAAUGGUAUAAACAUGUUUUCUGUGUAAUUAAUCUUUUCCGUUUUUCUCUCUAGUUAAGAUUUCCAUAUAAUUCCUAAAUAGUCAUUGCUGCUCUUAUAGGCUGGCCUAGGAGUUUUAUCUUUUGAUGAAAGACAAAUUUUCAGUUUUGG
rnacentral:misc_RNA from 1 species